GUCAGAAUGGCCGAGCGGUCUAAUGCGCUGCGUUCAGGUCGCAGUCCAGCACUCAGGCGAGGGUUCGAUUCCAUCUUCUGACA
rfam:Daphnia pulex DAPPTscaffold_112_Cont4794, whole genome shotgun sequence.